rnacentral:lncRNA from 1 species
AUGUGUAAUGUGAUUGCCAUUGGAGAGAUUGACAAAGGAGCCCUGAGCACGUGGAGCCCACGUCUAUUCUCCAGUCUCUUUUGGAUCCAGCCAGUUCCUGAGAUGCACAAGUUCUCCUCAGCUGCACGUUGUGAGUUUCUUCCCAUGGUUUUUUUCCCAGGAAAACAAAUAAAGACUUGGAGGAAGUAAAGCACAGGACUAUUGAUUAUUUCUGGAGUGGAAGGGGGUGGUAAAAAGAUGAAUGGGAAUGAUGGAAGUCAGUAUUAUGUAUAGUCAUGCACCGUAUAAUGAUGUUUUCAUCAACAGCAGACCACAUAUAUGAUGGUGGCCCCUAAGAUUAGUACCAUAUUGCCUAGGUGUGUAGUAGGCUAUACCAUCUAUGUUUGUGUAAGGAUACCCUAUGAUGUUUGCACAAUGAUAAAAUCACCUAACAAUGUAUUUCCAGAAUGUAUCCUCAUCAGUAAGUGACUCAUGACUGUAGUAGUUAGAAGUAUAGCCUUGAAAUUAGACUGCCUCAGCUAGAUUCUUGGUACUACCACUUGCUAACUGUGUGUCUUCAGGCAUGUUAAUUAUUUUCUCUGACAUCCAUUUCCUACAUGUAAAAUGAGGACAAUAGCACCCAUAUCAGAAAGUUGUCGACAGGAUUUAAUUAGGAUAUACCAAUAUAGUGCUUGAUAUAGUUCCUGGAAAACAAUAGGUACUCAAUAAGUUCUAACUAUGUUUUCCCUAAUGUUCCAAGUUUUCUGUAAUUCAUGAUUUUACUUUUAGCAUGAAAGAAUGUUUUUAAUCACUAUGUUGCCCAUUUAUUGAAAACUCUGUCAUAAGUGUCUGUGUAGAAAAUCCAAAAGAAUUGACAGGAAAACUCCUAGAACUAACAGGUGAUCAUAGAAAGGGUGCAGGAUACA